rnacentral:rRNA from 1 species
GCCGGCAGCUAACUUUCUGCAACUCUCACAUGGUCGCCCACUGAAGCUAAGCAGGGCUGCGCCCGGUCAGUACCUGGAUGGGAGACCACAUGGGAAAGCUAGUUUGCUGCCGGAA